rnacentral:rRNA from 1 species
UACGUAGGGUCCAAGCGUUAUCCGGAAUCACUGGGCGUAAAGCGUGCGUAGGUGGCGCAUUAAGUGAGAUGUGAAAUCCCGUGGCUCAACCAUGUGGACUGUGUCUCAUACUGAUGUGCUUGAGGAUGGCAGAGGCAAGUGGAACUCGUAGUGUAGCAGUGAAAUGCGUAGAUAUUACGAAGAACACCAAUGGCGAAGGCAGCUUGCUGGGCCACACCUGACACUAAGGCACGAAAGCGUGGGGGAGCGAACAGG